AUACUUACUUGGACGGAUCAAUUGGUGAUCAAGAUGGCCCAUGGCCUAGGUUGGUGACUUCCAUUGCACAUUGCACAUAGGAGGGUGUCUGCCUAAUAUCUCCCCCAAAAGUGAGAGAGUGUACGUCAUAAUUUGUGGUAGUUGGGGUACGCGUUUGUGCAGCCCUUGC
rnacentral:snRNA from 1 species